rnacentral:rRNA from 1 species
AUACGGAGGGUGCAAGCGUUAUUCGGAAUCACUGGGCGUAAAGGACGCGUAGGCGGGUUGGCAAGUCAGAUGUGAAAUCCUACAGCUUAACUGUAGAACUGCAUUUGAAACUGCUAACCUAGAGUGUGGGAGGGGGAGAUGGAAUUAGUGGUGUAGGGGUAAAAUCCGUAGAUAUCACUAGGAAUACCGAAAGCGAAGGCGAUCUCCUGGAACAUAACUGACGCUAAGGCGUGAAAGCGUGGGGAGCAAACAGGUUUAGAAACCCUAGUAGUCC